AGUGAACGCUGGCGGCAUGCCUAACACAUGCAAGUCGAACGGAUUCCGGCAGUUUAUCGCCGGAGUGAGUGGCAGACGGGUGAGUAAUACGUGGACAAUCUGCCUUUGAGAGAGGGACAACCCCGGGAAACCGGGGCUAAUACCGCGUGAGACCACGUCCCCGCAUGGGGAUGAGGUUAAAGCUCCGCAAGGGGCGCUCGAAGAUGGGUUCACGGCCUAUCAGCUUGUUGGUGAGGUAACGGCUCACCAAGGCUACGACGGGUAGCCGGUCUGAAAGGACGACCGGCCACAAUGGCACUGGGACACGGGCCAUACUCCUACGGGUGGCAG
rnacentral:rRNA from 1 species